CCCGGGAGCUUUGGCUCCACCGGAAAAAGAGGAGUGGCGAACGGGUGAGUAACACGUGGGUAACCUGCCCAUCAGAAGGGGAUAACACUUGGAAACAGGUGCUAAUACCGUAUAACAAUCAAAACCGCAUGGUUUUGAUUUGAAAGGCGCUUUCGGGUGUCGCUGAUGGAUGGACCCGCGGUGCAUUAGCUAGUUGGUGAGGUAACGGCUCACCAAGGCCACGAUGCAUAGCCGACCUGAGAGGGUGAUCGGCCACAUUGGGACUGAGACACGGCCCAAACUCCUACGGGAGGCAGCAGUAGGGAAUCUUCGGCAAUGGACGAAAGUCUGACCGAGCAACGCCGCGUGAGUGAAGAAGGUUUUCGGAUCGUAAAACUCUGUUGUUAGAGAAGAACAAGGAUGAGAGUAACUGUUCAUCCCUUGACGGUAUCUAACCAGAAAGCCACGGCUAACUACGUGCCAGCAGCCGCGGU
rnacentral:rRNA from 1 species